UGGAGGCCAAAGCAGGCGGGGCGCCUCCAGGGCUGCAAGCUAGGGCAGUUUGUUUUUCACCCUCGCAGGGCAAGGAAUGGGACCCUCACUGACGUCCGGAACCUGGGCAGUGGAAGGUGACGCGGACGCCAGAGGUUGGGGUGAAAGAUGGAAGACUGGGAUCCCCCGCCCCGCCCCGCCCCGCCCCUACAGCUGAGAAUAAAGAAGAAACUGAGGCAGAGAGCAGCUAAGUAACUUAUCAAGGCCACAGCUGAGAGGAAGGAGAGGGAUAGAAGCAUCAAUGAGAAUCACUGAUCGGCUGCCCCCUGCACGCCCCCUACUGGGCAUCCAGCAGGCAACCCGGGCAUGUGCUCUUGACUGGAACUGAACCGGGGACCCUUCAAUCCGCGGGGACGCUCUAUCCACCGAGCCAAACCAGCUCGGGCUGUUUGCUAUUUCUAACCUGGGCUCCUGAAGAAGUAAACAAAGAAUAGGGGUGAUGCCAAUCUUGUGGAAUAGAAUUUCUC